CCCUUAGAUGUUCUGGGCCGCACGCGCGUUACACUGAUGCAUUCAACGAGUUCUUCCUUGGCCGAGAGGCCUGGGCAAUCUUUUGAACGUGCAUCGUGAUAGGGAUAGAUUAUUGAAAUUAUUAAUCUUGAACGAGGAAUUCCUAGUAAACGCAGAUCAUCAAUCUGCAUUGAUUACGUCCCUGCCCUUUGUACACACCGCCCGUCGCACCUACCGAUUGGAUGGUCCGGUGAAGCCUCGGGAUUGUGGUUCUUGCCGCUUUAUUGUGGCGUGACCGCGAGAACUUGUCUAAACCUUAUCAUCUAGAGGAAGGUGAAGUCGUAACA
rnacentral:rRNA from 1 species